CGAAGACUUCACCACUGCAAUUUUACCACGUUUUUCCGCUAAAGGUACGAUUGAACAUAAAUCGUUUGAUAAGGUUUUUAAAAAUAUUGUUGAAACUUUUUUCGGUCCAACGGAUCUUGGUCGUUUUAAAGAAAUCGGGUUAGAUGCUAAAACUAAACGUUGGAAAAGUUGGAAAUGCACUUAGUGAACCUAAAGCUAAAAGGUCUUUUCUUAAAAAUGUAGACGGUGGAUCUUUUUCGGAAAAAUAUUAUUUCACAGUAUCUA